ACGCUCCUCCCAAGCUUUCGAUUCUGAACCAGAAUUCCACGGUGAAUCGAUCUUCCGACGCCAGAUCGACGCGAGUUGAGAGACGGCCGUGCUCAGGACGGCGGAGCGCCGGCGAGAUGCGGAGGCGGCGGCGCCGCCACCACGCGCGCUCCUAGGUUACUUUCCUCUUUUUUUUUUCUCUCUUUUUGAUGCUUGUCUUCAGAUGUUCAGAGUUCAGAGGAGUUAGCCAGGUAGGGCUCUUGUGCUACGUCUGUGAGAGCUUGUGUUUAGAACUUUAGAUCAACCAUUUUAUGUUUUUUUUUGGGUGAAACAAUUGUUGUAGCAGGGAGACAACGCCCUCUCUCCUAUCCGGUCGAAACAUCUAAGAUGGUUUAUGGAAAGUUCCUAAGUGUAAAACAAGGAAAACACUCUCGAGUUGGAAAACACUCUCGAGUGGAAAAACACUAUCGAGUUGGAAAACAUUCUCGGGUGGUUUCUUAUCACUUAUAUGUAACUCAUCUUGUUUGGAGAUGAUUUCUGAAUACAUGGCAGGUGAAUCUGGCGAUCGGGAAGUUGUUGAAGGAUGUGCAAACCCUCAAUCAUAGAAGACAUUCGGCUAAGAGAGCUCGAAGGAAAAAACCUGCUCGAGUAAAGAUCCGGUCGAAUGGAAGAUUCUGUGGGGGCCGUUUCUCAACCACUCUUGCCAGCUGGAGCCAAAAGACUAGAAUGACCCUGAGAAUGUACUAAAAUACCCCUAGGGUUGCUGACAUGGCAAGGGCAUUAUAGGAAGAUCACUAAAGCCCAUGAGGGUAGAAAUGUAACAUCACAUGUAAGACCGUAGGCUAUAAAAGCCGGUCAAGUCCCUAUAGCUAGAGGAGACAUUUUUUAAUACAAAAAGUAAUCCUCUAAAGUGGUGUUUGCUGUUUGAGCUUAUUUCUAAGGAUAGGUAGGAAAAUACUUCUUUCCGGCCUAUCCCCAAUCUUGUUCGUGACCUAAGGUCACAACAAC
rnacentral:lncRNA from 1 species